rnacentral:lncRNA from 1 species
AAGCAUAACAGAGUGUCGUCAAUAGUGUCAGGGACUGGUGCUUGUCCAUGGGAUUGGUCUCAAGUUGGGCCAGUUAUUGGUCGGCCAUUCCCUUUGUCUCUGCUCCAUCUUUGUCCCUGCAUUUCUUGACAGGACAAACUUCGGGUCAAAGUUUUGUGGAUGGGUUGGUGCCCAUCUACUGGGUCCUGCCAGGCUGGUACCAUAAAGGAGCAGACUCAAAUAAAGAAAAUCCACGCUCCGGUAUUCCAGCUGGCACCUGAGGCCGGCCGGCUGGAUGCAGCCCUGAGCAUCUGUGUCCCGUUGCCUUAUAGCCUCCUCCCAGCACAGGAAGUGGACUUCUGUCCAGUUCAAGUCUGAACACUAUGCUCUAGACUCUGGACCACCCCAGAGAGAUCAACCCUGUCACCCAGGUCAAUAGCUUCUUUUGGGAGGCUGGUGUCCUCUUCCUCAAUUCUCACACCAAGGCUUCAGCUGCUGAUGUCAACAAGGGCAUAAGCUCAUGGUGGCAACCAUCUCACCCGGGCCAUACAUGAAGGACAGAAACAGUGUGCUCACAGAAGAAACACUACAUGUACACACAGUGCUUUAGUCAAACACUUGGGAAGUGGAUGGCUUACACACACAACCCCAUGUGCAACUUGUCAUGCACUGGCAGUCACACUCAAAAAGGGAUCCUCUGCAGGUGAACCACUUCAGAGAAGAUAUAGCUGCUGGUAAAUGGCUUUGGUUUCCAGACACAAUUUUCCAACUUCACAUUCACAGAUAAACAAAACAGAAGUGAUGGUUUGUAUAUGCUUGGCCCAGGGAGUGACACUAUUAGGAGGUGUUGGAGUAUGUGUGUCACUGUGGGUGUGGGCUUAAGACCUUCACCCUAGCUGCCUGGAAGUCAGUAUUCUGCUAGAAGCUUUCAGAUGAAGAUGUAGAACUUUCAGCUCCUCCUGCACGAUGCCAGCCAGAAUCCCAACAUGUUCCACCUUGAUGAUAAUGGACUGAACCUCUGAACCUGUAAGCCAGCCCCAAUUAAAUGUUGUCCUUAUAAGA